rnacentral:rRNA from 1 species
UACGUAGGGUGCAAGCGUUGUCCGGAAUUAUUGGGCGUAAAGAGCUCGUAGGCGGUCUGUCGCGUCGGCUGUGAAAUCCCGGAGCUCAACUCCGGGUCUGCAGUCGAUACGGGCAAACUGGAGUACUGCAGGGGAGACUGGAAUUCCUGGUGUAGCGGUGAAAUGCGCAGAUAUCAGGAGGAACACCGGUGGCGAAGGCGGGUCUCUGGGCCGAUACUGACGCUGAGGUGCGAAAGCGUGGGGGAGCAAACAGG